UGCAAGAGAGAGAGAGUAGCAAACAGGCAAGUGCGUCGGUGUCCAGAAAGGGAAACCAAGGGGCAGUUUUGCUCCGUGAAUGAUGAAAGCGAUCUAACACUUAACGGUACAAUUAUCUCUAAUUAUGUGUGAAAAAUAGCAGCAACCCAACACCCUACAGUCAAGUCUCCGUCGCAGUCAUUGGCCCUUCUCCUCUUGGCAUCAGUCAGGCCACACAACUUUAACAGUCCCUCUCGUCAUAAUAGCCGUGUCUGACUGCUUUUGGCCAAGAGAACUGAUUCCAAGGACAUGAAAGAUUGUGACUAUUCAUCACCAUCCUGUGGCAUUUCCAAGGCACAAAAACAAUUUCCAUUUUUCAUACCCGAAUUACUUCUCUACUCUCUCUUCUUUUGAUGGUGAAACUGAAGCUUACAGUUCACUUUUUUGGCUAUAUCUUGUAUCGUGCUUGUUCCCUGUAAGGCAUUACUCAAUUUGGGAACUAGAGAAUUAGUCUCGAAACAGUUUUUUCA